rnacentral:rRNA from 2 species
AUGAUGGGAGCUUGCUCCUGGAUUAGUGGCGAACGGGUGAGUAACACGUGAGUAACCUGCCCUUAACUCUGGGAUAAGCCUGGGAAACUGGGUCUAAUACCGGAUAUGACUCCUCAUCGCAUGGUGGGGGGUGGAAAGCUUUUUGUGGUUUUGGAUGGACUCGCGGCCUAUCAGCUUGUUGGUGAGGUAAUGGCUUACCAAGGCGACGACGGGUAGCCGGCCUGAGAGGGUGACCGGCCACACUGGGACUGAGACACGGCCCAGACUCCUACGGGAGGCAGCAGUGGGGAAUAUUGCACAAUGGGCGCAAGCCUGAUGCAGCGACGCCGCGUGAGGGAUGACGGCCUUCGGGUUGUAAACCUCUUUCAGUAGGGAAGAAGCGAAAGUGACGGUACCUGCAGAAGAAGCGCCGGCUAACUACGUGCCAGCAGCCGCGGUAAUACGUAGGGCGCAAGCGUUAUCCGGAAUUAUUGGGCGUAAAGAGCUCGUAGGCGGUUUGUCGCGUCUGCCGUGAAAGUCCGGGGCUCAACUCCGGAUCUGCGGUGGGUACGGGCAGACUAGAGUGAUGUAGGGGAGACUGGAAUUCCUGGUGUAGCGGUGAAAUGCGCAGAUAUCAGGAGGAACACCGAU